UGAAAUUUAUACCGGAUACUCGGGCCUGCAGUCCCUUAAAGCUGUUAAAAAUUUAAACUUCUAAAACAACGCAAUAAAAAGAUACAGGAGUUUUAUCGCUAAAAGUUUUCGACACUCCCUAGGAAAGGAUAUAAAUAUUAUUAAAAAUAACCUAUUCUGUUCACCCUACCGCACUGUUAAUGACAGCUAUGACGUCACAAUACGGCGCAAAGAUUCCACAGAGAGUACAUUAUACAUAUUAUAUCUUAGAUCCUAUUCUCAUUUGGAACCGAACCCUUAAAAACAAAGACGAUAGGUAUAACGUUUUCGUCCAAGCUUUUAAAAAUCUCUUAAUUAUAAAUGGGCUUGUUUACCAUAUUAACUAUCAAUUAGAAGGUAUAAUUAAUAAUAUCCGCUACACGAACGUUUAUUAGCGGUACGAAAUUCCCGGACGACGUUCGUUCUCCUUUCAUAGUUAGCUGUCAAAUCUGUCAACUGACAGACAGUUAAUAGUUGACAAUCGUAGUGAAGUUGCCUAACGAAAAUUAAUCGAUUCUUUAAAAACAUCGAAUAAGUUAGUAAAGGUAAUGAAAUAAGAUUUAUCGAUUUUAGAUUUGUAUAUUAAAUUGCCAAGAAAAGAGUAAUUUGUAAAUACAUGAUGAUAGUCCUUACCUCUUCCUGCUGAUUAUGGAUGGCCCUACCGGCAUACAGACAUACAGGAAGAGGCACCCUGGUGCAUGCUGUUUACCAAUGACAUUUUUCUGGUUGUGAAUGAUGGACCCGAGGUCCAGAGCAGACUUGAGGUGUGGCAGCGGAAACUGGAGAGUGUUGGCUUGAAAAUCGUUCUGCGAUUCAGUCCCGAAGCUAUAACGCUUGAUGGCGUGCACCUUCCAGUCUGCUCAGACUUCCGGUAUCUCGGUUCACUCAUUCAAAGCGAUGGUGAAAUAGAUCGGGCGGUCAAGCAUCGAAUUAACAUAGGAUGGAUGAAAUGGCGGCAGGUAACGGGAACCACUUGAGGGGAAUAUCUAUAAGACCAUGGACUGCUACCUGCUUUCCUGUAUCGAUCGGAGUGUGGGCGACAAAAGGGAUAAAUGAAAGAGUUAAGGGGAAUGUGUGAUGUUACGAGAGCAGAUAGAGUAGGAAAUGAGUAUGUAAGGGGAAGUUUGAAAGUGGCACCGGUUCCGGAAUGAGAGUCAUGACGUGGUGAGGAAGGUGUUGAGUAUGUAUGUGGAUGGAUAUAUCGGAAGAGGACGACCAAGGAAACGAUGGAUGGAUUGUGUGAAAGACGGUAUGGCUGCAAAGAGUGCUUCUUGUGAGAUGACGUCAGAUCGAAAGUUAUGGAAGGAGAAGAUCCCAAAGAUGAUGAUAAUGAUACCUAAAGUCACUUUUGUGGUUUUUGGACAUUGGAAGAUGCGAAAAAGAAAUAAUAACAACAAACAACGGGCUUAACGAAAACGAAAAACUUAACAAAACAAUAACAAAAUUCACAAUCAACAAAAACUUAAAAACUGAAAACAAACACAAACCGCAUACAAGGCAGAUUCACGUCGUUCUGACUUUUGACGAUUGCGAUUUGCAAUACGAUCACAAGAUGGACGUUCCGACUCAUCGAUUUGAUUUCGAUGCAACAGUGUCAAUCUCUAUUGACAAAAGUUCCGUUCCAUGCAUCUGACAUUGGUAUGACAUAAUUUCAUCUUUGUUAAAAUUGACAUUUUUUUAAUACAUAACAGUUAAUAACAUAAAUGAUAUCUGUUCCGUUAUUAAUUAUUUAAUUAGUCUUUUGGUCAGGAGAAAAUAAUUAGUUUCGUUUGCUUCCCCUAUUGUUUUCUUGUGAGAAAAUUGCGUAGCAAGGAGUAUGAGAACUGUCACGCAUAUCGCUUUACGGAGUAUCAACAUUUAAUAACAUUACAUAGGUAUUGGCUUGUUUUGUUAUUGUUUAAGAACGACUUUAAAAAAUGUAAAAACGCUCCAAAUUAUAUUUUUAUUUGUGGUGUUAUAACACCGUGCGGUGCAAGGAAAACUACCAAUAAAUCUGUUUUAACAAUUCAUAGACAAAAGAAGAGAUACCAUGAUCUGCUCCACAACCAAACUAUUUGGUUGUUACUCGAAAAGCGUUGGCACAGAACAGAAGUGGCUUGAUGUCAUUGGUACUGAAUAUAAUACUGUGUGGUUAUUCAUUAAACUUGAGGCUGCAUGAUGAUGCAGUACCAUUGUCCACCUUGUAUUAAGCAUAAAAAAUCCUCAUGGCAUCUCGGCCUGAAAUGAAAAUUGUCCAAGAAUAACAGGCAUGAUAACUCAACUAAGCUUACGAGUGAAACACCUGGAUGAGUUUAUAAAGAGACUGAACCCGAAACCGAUUACUUCUGUGAAAACAAUGCCAAAUAAAUAUGAAUUAUUGCUGCCUCAUCCGCCAUCUUUAUUUAAUAAGAUCCAGGAAGUAUGUGGUGCCCAGAGAAACAAGUAAAGUAUUGAAUGAGAAAAUUAGACGCCAAGUCAAAACAUCUUAAAUAUGCAAGAUGUUAUUACUAUUAUGAAGAACAAAGCUACAUGAAAAAACGGUUUGCAAGGCUUUCCUUUCUAAACCAAGUACCUAUUCUGAGAUAAUUAAAAAGUUGAACUACGC